rnacentral:rRNA from 1 species
UACGGAAGGCAGCAGUGGGGAAUAUUGCACAAUGGGCGAAAGCCUGAUGCAGCUAUGCCGCGUGUAUGAAGAAGGCCUUAGGGUUGUAAAGUACUUUCAUCGGGGAGGAAAAAACAAAACUAAUAAUUUUAUUUCUUGACGUUACCCGAAAAAGAAGCACCGGCUAACUCCGUGCCAGCAGCCGCGGUAAUACGGAGGGUGCUAGCGUUAAUCAGAAUUACUGGGCGUAAAGAGCACGUAGGUGGUUUUUUUAAGUCAGAUGUGAAAUCCCUGGGCUUAACCUAGGAACUGCAUUUUGAAACUGAAAUACUAGAGUAUCGUAGAGGGAGGUAGAAUUCUAGGUGUAGCGGUGAAAUGCGUAGAUAUCUGGAGGAAUACCUGUGGCGAAAGCGGCCUCCUAAACGAAUACUGACACUGAGGUGCGAAAGCGUGGGGAGCAAACAGGGAUUAGAUACCCGU